AAAAAUGGAGGAAGCUGACUACGCAUUUUUUGUCAAACAAUAACAUUCACACAAUGAAAACCAAUUAUUUUGUAAGAAAUUUCCACUCUCUUUCUAAGAAAUUUCAAUGAAAAAAGAUCGAAGAUGAUUACUUUGCAACACUCCUCUGUUUUCAUUUUAGACCCGAAAUGAUUUGGGUGAAAACCGGAUUUUGUCCACCUAUCCUAUCUGAAGAUAACCGAAUAAAACAAAACCCCAACUCAAACUGACUGAAGUCCGAUCUGAAGAGUUCCAAAGGUAUUAGGAAGUGGUUGUUUCUACAGCGCCUCCACGAGUUUCUUAUAUCACAUCUCCUUUCAAGUUCUCAACUUUCAGUGAUCAAUGGAGUCCUUCAUGAAGGAGUUUGAACAUCUUAAAAUCCAUCUAGAAGACC